UCCUGUCUCUGUCGCGGGCGAAACAGUUCCAGUUCCUUUUCUUUUUUUGGCAUGCCAGCAGUUUGGUAGAGUUGGUUUGGGGUUGGUGCAACAGAAUUCUCCGGGUAAGAGAGUAGCUAGUAGCGUUAAGUUUUGGAAACGAAAAUGAGAGCCGCAGUGGCCGAUACAUUAACGAGUCUAUUUGUCUCUGUGUAAUGUUGCUGUGAAGUGUUUGGUGGCCGUCCGACAGCGUGCAUCGGUAUGUAUAAGCUCCCCGACUUGAUGUGCCAUUUCAGUAACAACUAGAUGCCAGCAAUUUUGGGGCUGGAGCUGUACUCCUGCAGACGGGUACGGAUAGCAUUGAUCACCCUGUGAGUUUCAAGUAAGUUUGAGUUGAAUUAUUCCAUUGUGGAGAAAGAGGCCUUGGCUCUUAUUUGGGCAGUGAAACAUUUUGAGGUCUAUGUUAGUGGUGGAGGAAAGCCACUUGUUGUUUACACUGACCAUAACCCCCUGUUGUUCUUAAAUUCGUUAUAGAAUCCUAAUCGGUGCCUUAUGUGGAGGUGUCUGUUUCUUCAGCUGUUCAACCUAGACAUUCACCAUAUCAUGGGUCUGAUAAUGUUUUGGCUGAUGCUCUAUUGUAUGCACUACCUCUUUAAAGUCUGUCUUAAAUGAUACAUUUUUAGGUAAAAAAGCGCCUUUACCAUUUACCAUUUACUUGGUUUGGUUUGAUGCGUUGAGCUGUGUUCAGUUAUAUAAAUAAUAAAUAUUAAUAAUGAAAUAUUAAUUUUAUAUUACAGUAUGAAUCCAGACAUAGCGUUUGUCUAGAUGUUGAAAUGAGGUUGUUAGUAGUUUAAGUUAGACUGUAAUGUAAAUUAAGAUCGAGGAACCAGAAUGUGAAUAUUCAUAAUAAUAUUUCGUACUCGUACACAUUCUGAACAUAAAUUAUUUUACAUGUCUAUUUGUCUGUGUAAAAUUCAGGUGAUCCAGAUCAGAUGUUCUACAUGAGAUGAACUAUCAGGACCUCUCAUCUGGACAGAGAACACUUUGAAAGUCAUUACUACAAUCACCAAUUUUUAUUAAAGCCCAGAUGUGAAAUUUUA